rnacentral:rRNA from 1 species
UACGAAGGGUGCAAACGUUGCUCGGAAUUAUUGGGCGUAAAGCGCACGUAGGCGGCUUGGCAAGUCGGAUGUGAAAUCCCUCGGCUCAACCAAGGAAGUGCAUCCGAAACUGCCGAGCUUGAGUACUUAAGAGGAUCGCGGAAUUCCCGGUGUAGAGGUGAAAUUCGUAGAUAUCAAGAGGAACACCUGCGGCGAAGGCGGGUUGCUGGGCCGACACUGACGCUGAAGCGCGAAAGCCAGGGGAGCGAACGGG